rnacentral:rRNA from 1 species
AGGCGGCCGGUAGAAUGCAAGUCGAACGCACUCUCGUUAGAUUGAAGAAGCUUGCUUCUGAUUGAUAACAUUUGAGUGAGUGGCGGACGGGUGAGUAACACGUGGGUAACCUGCCCUAAAGUGGGGGAUAACAUUUGGAAACAGAUGCUAAUACCGCAUAAAACCUAGCACCGCAUGGUGCAAGGUUGAAAGAUGGUUUCGGCUAUCACUUUAGGAUGGACCCGCGGUGCAUUAGUUAGUUGGUGAGGUAAAGGCUCACCAAGACCGUGAUGCAUAGCCGACCUGAGAGGGUAAUCGGCCACACUGGGACUGAGACACGGCCCAGACUCCUACGGGAGGCAGCAGUAGGGAAUCUUCCACAAUGGACGAAAGUCUGAUGGAGCAACGCCGCGUGAGUGAAGAAGGUUUUCGGAUCGUAAAACUCUGUUGUUGGAGAAGAACGUAUUUGAUAGUAACUGAUCAGGUAGUGACGGUAUCCAACCAGAAAGCCACGGCUAACUACGUGCCAGCAGCCGCGGUAAUACGUAGGUGGCAAGCGUUGUCCGGAUUUAUUGGGCGUAAAGCGAGCGCAGGCGGUUUCUUAAGUCUGAUGUGAAAGCCUUCGGCUCAACCGAAGAAGUGCAUCGGAAACUGGGAAACUUGAGUGCAGAAGAGGACAGUGGAACUCCAUGUGUAGCGGUGAAAUGCGUAGAUAUAUGGAAGAACACCAGUGGCGAAGGCGGCUGUCUGGUCUGUAACUGACGCUGAGGCUCGAAAGCAUGGGUAGCAAACAGGAUUAGAUACCCUGGUAGUCCAUGCCGUAAACGAUGAGUGCUAGGUGUUGGAGGGUUUCCGCCCUUCAGUGCCGCAGCUAACGCAUUAAGCACUCCGCCUGGGGAGUACGACCGCAAGGUUGAAACUCA